rnacentral:lncRNA from 1 species
AGCGUCGGCGACAUGGGGGGAGCUCCUGGACCCCGUCAGCUCCUGGAGCCCGUGGCACCUGCGAGGGCAGCGCCGCCGCUUCCUGGGCUGCUGUGAGCUUUGAAUGAGAGGAUUCGCCUGACGCCCCCAAAGCAACGCCAAACCCGAGGCGGGCCCCCGGGAGUGGACCAUUUUCUCCUGUCUUAGAGGUUGCAGGACCCCAACCCCAAGUAGUACACAGUUGCUGCCAAGUGCCUGUGGGAAAGAGGGGCAUUUAUUCAUUCAACCAUCAAAGGAAAGAUGCCUCCAGGCCUGCAGCCAUGAGAGCACUGGGAAAGGUGGAGAUGGAGGCCAAGAGGCAGGCUUUUGUGAAGGUCUGCACCCACAAGCUAGGACUCCCACAGCUGGGGAAAUGCCUCUGGCCUCCCCCAGUGAAUUCAAACACAAGCCCAGGCAUUCAGCAGGUGCUCUUCAGUGUGCCUGAGGGAGGCAGAGAUGGGACAGAUCCAUAAGUCAACAGCCAUUUAUCAAGCGCCCACUAUGUGCCAUGCCCACUGUGUACCAGCUCUGUGA